UGCACGGUGGAUGCCUUGGCAGCCAGAGGCGAUGAAGGACGUUGUAGCCUGCGAUAAGCUCCGGUUAGGUGGCAAACAACCGUUUGACCCGGAGAUCUCCGAAUGGGGCAACCCACCCGUUGUAAGGCGGGUAUCACCGACUGAAUCCAUAGGUCGGUGAGGCGAACGCGGGGAACUGAAACAUCUAAGUACCCCGAGGAAAAGAAAUCAACCGAGAUUCCCUAAGUAGCGGCGAGCGAACGGGGAUUAGCCCUUAAGCUGAUGACUGAUUAGGAGAACGGUCUGGGAAGGCCGACCAUAGUGGGUGAUAGUCCUGUAUCCGAAAAUCUGAUUCAGUGAAAACGAGUAGGUCGGGGCACGUGUAACCUUGACUGAACAUGGGGGGACCAUCCUCCAAGGCUAAAUACUCCUGACUGACCGAUAGUGAACCAGUACCGUGAGGGAAAGGCGAAAAGAACCCCGGAGAGGGGAGUGAAAUAGAUCCUGAAACCGUAUGCGUACAAGCAGUCGGAGCAGACUUGUUCUGUGACGGCGUACCUUUUGUAUAAUGGGUCAGCGACUUAUGUUCAGUGGCGAGGUUAACCGUUUAGGGGAGCCGUAGGGAAACCGAGUCUGAAUAGGGCGAUUUAGUCGCUGGGCAUAGACCCGAAACCGGGCGAUCUAUCCAUGAGCAGGUUGAAGGUUGAGUAACAUCAACUGGAGGACCGAACCCACUGUCUUUGAAAAGCCAGGGGAUGACUUGUGGAUCGGAGUGAAAGGCUAAUCAAGCCCGGAGAUAGCUGGUUCUCCCCGAAAGCUAUUUAGGUAGCGCCUCGGACGAAUACCACAGGGGGUAGAGCACUGUUUCGGCUAGGGGGUCAUCCCGACUUACCAACCCGAUGCAAACUCCGAAUACCUGUGAGUACUAUCCGGGAGACACACGGUGGGUGCUAACGUCCAUCGUGAAGAGGGAAACAACCCAGACCGCCAGCUAAGGUCCCCAAGUACCAGUUAAGUGGGAAACGAUGUGGGAAGGCUUAGACAGCUAGGAGGUUGGCUUAGAAGCAGCCAUCCUUUAAAGAAAGCGUAAUAGCUCACUAGUCGAGUCGGCCUGCGCGGAAGAUGUAACGGGGCUCAAACUGGAUACCGAAGCUGCGGCAGUGUGCUUAGGCAUACUGGGUAGGGGAGCGUUGUGUAAGUCUGUGAAGGUGUGUUGAGAAGCAUGCUGGAGAUAUCACAAGUGCGAAUGCUGACGUGAGUAACGAUAAUGCGGGUGAAAAACCCGCACGCCGAAAGACCAAGGUUUCCUGCGCAACGCUAAUCGGCGCAGGGUGAGUCGGCCCCUAAGGCGAGGCUGAAAGGCGUAGCUGAUGGGAAACGGGUUAAUAUUCCCGUACUUCUUGUAACUGCGAUGGAGAGACGGAGAAGGCUAGGCCUACCGGGCGUUGGUUGUCCCGGGGAAAGACCGUAGGC
rnacentral:rRNA from 12 species